CCGGAAGUAGUGGGAAGAUCCAGAGCGUUAUCCCCAAGCCCACCUCGUCAGGAGCCCGGCUGCCGCCUCGUCCGCGGAGAAGAAUCUUCGGUGGGCAGCUGUCCUCUCCCGUGCCAGAGCUAUCGCUGGGAGGCCGUCUUAUCGUCCACUCAGGAGAUAAGCCGAAAGAUCGUGCUGCAUCUUGGGGUUGUCCUGCUGGAGGGGAAGCUGUGGCAGAGAAGCUGUGCAGGAGGAGCGCCAGGCCUCAGCUUUUCUCUCAGUCUCCCUUAGCCAGGCCGCCUCUUUGGCAGGAGGGAAACUGAGAAGCGGGCCGGGAGCUCGCGAGUGCGUUUGGAAACUGCUUCCGGCAGGAGGCGCGGUGCCUGCGUGCCACGUUCCGCCCUCCCAAGGGCACUGUCACAGAGCCACCUAGAGUCCAAAUACCUCGCUGCUCCGACAGCGUGGCAGCCGCGUGGUCAGCCUGGUUUCCAUCCAUCUUUGCGCUCUGGUGUCGCGUUUUGCCCGAGCCUGGCGACAGUGCAACCCAUCGGCCUGAUCAUCUCUUUUUCCUGCCUGGUGUAACGUACAGUCCUUACCCUUAUUGCUCGCUGGGGCCUGGAAAUUACAAACCCUAAUAAUUUCUAAAGCGCUUGUGUUUGUGUUUGUUUUGUUUGUUUCGAUUUUCUUGUAGAGAAAGCUGUUAAAGCUUCCCAAAGUUCUCCUUUCUGUUGUUUUGUUUUGCUUUUUUGUUUUGAUGAGAUGUGAGACUUAGUACAACUUGCCUUUGUUAAUAUUGUGACUAGGUCUCUGCCCAUUCUAUAUAGAACCUCUCCUGACACCCCCACCAUGGAAAUGACCUAAUCCCUGGACAGUGCUCACACGGCUGUUACACUCAUCCUCUGUUCCAUCAUUCAUGCUUGUGGUGGUUUUUUAUAUGUUUGUUUUGGGGUUUUUUUUUUUAAAUACUAAGAGAUUGAAUCCAGGACUUUUGCACUAACCCACACGUGUUUGUUUGUUUGUUUGAAAGAGACUCCCUUAGUCACCAAGUUCUCAGGCAAGUAUUGAAAUUGCUACCCUCCUACCUCAGCCUCCCAGAGUGCUUUAAUUGCAGGUAUUGCAUUAAUUUUUGAGGACCUGCUACAUCCCCAUCAUUAUGCUGGGUGCCAGGGCAACAAAUAAGAAGCAGGCCUUAGCAUCAGUGUAGAAAGGGUAAUGUGUGG
rnacentral:lncRNA from 1 species